rnacentral:lncRNA from 1 species
AUUUUUCUAUUAUCUAGGCCCAUGCUUUUAGUUGUGCUCUACAUUAGUGCAAAUAUCGUAUUUAACAACGACAUGUAGGCUAUGAUUUUAAGAAAAACAUAGCUUACAAAUGUGAUAACAUUUUUGUAAUUCUAGCAAGGUAUAUACGGUUAUGAAAGAACCGUAGCUUAUACUCUAACUACUAACUACCAGAGUAUAAGUUAUAGUUGUAUAAAGCAUGGUAACCUACACCCCCUAAAUAGAGUUAAUUUCAAUAUUUUUUUUUACUUGGCCCUCAGAUACCACUUUUGCCUCCCGCCACUACGUACUAACAUGAAUUACUUUGUUUCUCUCUCGUUUCCUUCUUCUAGUGUUCAGGUUUGUUCUCUUUUCUUUUCUCACGUAAACGCAUUGUUUUUUCUCUCGUUUUUUAUUGUUCUCCAUUAAGGAUCAUUCAACUGGUUUUCUCUCUUGUUCAUUGUUUAGGUUCGUUUCCUCUCUGUUUUUCUCCUCAGUUUGUGGGUCUUCAUUCAUGAUUUGUUAUGCGAUCACGUUGUUUAGAUGUUUAUCUUCGUUCUCUGUUGUUCAUCAUGCAGGCUUUUUUGCCUCCUGUUUGUUGCACUACACUCC